UAAAGGAGCCUUCAGCCAGCCACACCUCGCAUAGCAAGCACCUCCCACACCUCAGCCUUGCCGGAGCAGUGAAGCAAGCACCUCCCACGUCCCACACAGAUCGAGCAGCGACGUACGCUCGGAUCCAUGGACUCCCCGCAAAAGAAGCUCGGAUCCACCAUGGACGGAGAGAUGCCACAUCUGCUGCCUGUGACUGUGAGCGAGACCGUGUCCAACUCCAAGGAGACGCGGGCCGCUCCUCCUCCGGACGCUGUCGUGAUUGUCAGCGAGUGGGCGUUCUACCCCGGCUUCAUCGCCUUCCUCUUCUACACCCUGCAUUAUGCAAUCACUUCCGCACUGUCCUUGUUCUUUCUGCUGACGGGCGCGGAGGCGGAGGCCGCCAAGGUGAGCGUCCUACACGUCGGGAUGCUGUGCUUUGCCGCACUCCAGGUGGCCGCGGCGGCGGUGGCUCUGCGGCUCCCGCGCCGCCGCGGCUGGGUCCGCAGUCCGCUACGCCUUCGCCUACCUCGCCCUCGCGCUCGCCAUCGUCGGCCACUGCAUGUUCGCCGCUGGAGACCACUUCUUCAGGAUCUUGCGCACCGUCGGCAUCUUCAUCUACGCUGCGGGCGAUGUCCUCUGCUUCCUGGCCCUCCUCCUCGACCUCCUCGGCCUCCUGGGAGGUGAGAAGUAGGACAGAAGCAGGGCAAACAGUAGGCAGGGGAUCAGCUCAUGAGAUGAGGUACUGAUGAGUGCGCAGUUACUUCUAAUUAAGGAAUAAUGUCGAGUAUGCAUUAUGAUGCGAAGACUGAUCUCAGUGCUGGCCGUAUGUGCGAAUCUACUAGCUAGCUAAUGUAAUGUUAAUUAAUUGGAUAAAACAACUAUAUACUACUAGCUAGUUAGUACAUUUGUGUGAUGCGUCUGAAAAUCACCUAGCUAUCUAGAUUGUGGUUGUCUUUGAUGAAUUUGACCUUUUAUCUGUGUGACCAGACAUGAGUUAUAUGAUGAUUAUGGUUAUAUAUAUCUAGUCUCUGCUUAA